GAUGAACGCUGGCGGCGUGCCUAAUACAUGCAAGUCGAGCGAACGGACGAGAAGCUUGCUUCUCUGAUGUUAGCGGCGGACGGGUGAGUAACACGUGGAUAACCUACCUAUAAGACUGGGAUAACUUCGGGAAACCGGAGCUAAUACCGGAUAAUAUUUUGAACCGCAUGGUUCAAAAGUGAAAGACGGUCUUGCUGUCACUUAUAGAUGGAUCCGCGCUGCAUUAGCUAGUUGGUAAGGUAACGGCUUACCAAGGCAACGAUGCACAGCCGACCUGAGAGGGUGAUCGGCCACACUGGAACUGAGACACGGUCCAGACUCCUACGGGAGGCAGCAGUAGGGAAUCUUCCGCAAUGGGCGAAAGCCUGACGGAGCAACGCCGCGUGAGUGAUGAAGGUCUUCGGAUCGUAAAACUCUGUUAUUAGGGAAGAACAUAUGUGUAAGUAACUGUGCACAUCUUGACGGUACCUAAUCAGAAAGCCACGGCUAACUACGUGCCAGCAGCCGCGGUAAUACGUAGGUGGCAAGCGUUAUCCGGAAUUAUUGGGCGUAAAGCGCGCGUAGGCGGUUUUUUAAGUCUGAUGUGAAAGCCCACGGCUCAACCGUGGAGGGUCAUUGGAAACUGGAAAACUUGAGUGCAGAAGAGGAAAGUGGAAUUCCAUGUGUAGCGGUGAAAUGCGCAGAGAUAUGGAGGAACACCAGUGGCGAAGGCGACUUUCUGGUCUGUAACUGACGCUGAUGUGCGAAAGCGUGGGGAUCAAACAGGAUUAGAUACCCUGGUAGUCCACGCCGUAAACGAUGAGUGCUAAGUGUUAGGGGGUUUCCGCCCCUUAGUGCUGCAGCUAACGCAUUAAGCACUCCGCCUGGGGAGUACGACCGCAAGGUUGAAACUCAAAGGAAUUGACGGGGACCCGCACAAGCGGUGGAGCAUGUGGUUUAAUUCGAAGCAACGCGAAGAACCUUACCAAAUCUUGACAUCCUUUGACAACUCUAGAGAUAGAGCCUUCCCCUUCGGGGGACAAAGUGACAGGUGGUGCAUGGUUGUCGUCAGCUCGUGUCGUGAGAUGUUGGGUUAAGUCCCGCAACGAGCGCAACCCUUAAGCUUAGUUGCCAUCAUUAAGUUGGGCACUCUAAGUUGACUGCCGGUGACAAACCGGAGGAAGGUGGGGAUGACGUCAAAUCAUCAUGCCCCUUAUGAUUUGGGCUACACACGUGCUACAAUGGACAAUACAAAGGGCAGCGAAACCGCGAGGUCAAGCAAAUCCCAUAAAGUUGUUCUCAGUUCGGAUUGUAGUCUGCAACUCGACUACAUGAAGCUGGAAUCGCUAGUAAUCGUAGAUCAGCAUGCUACGGUAAAUACGUUCCCGGGUCU
rnacentral:rRNA from 1 species